UGGGGAAUAUUGCACAAUGGGCGCAAGCCUGAUGCAGCCAUGCCGCGUGUGUGAAGAAGGCCUUCGGGUUGUAAAGCACUUUCAGCGGGGAGGAAGGCGAUAAGGUUAAUAACCUUGUCGAUUGACGUUACCCGCAGAAGAAGCACCGGCUAACUCCGUGCCAGCAGCCGCGGUAAUACGGAGGGUGCAAGCGUUAAUCGGAAUUACUGGGCGUAAAGCGCCCGCAGGCGGUCUGUCAAGUCGGAUGUGAAAUCCCCGGGCUCAACCUGGGAACUGCAGUCGAAACUGGAAGGCUAGAGGCUUGUAGAGGAGGGUAGAAUUCCAGGGGUAGCGGUGAAAUGCGUAGAGAUCUGAAGGAAUACCGGUGGCGAAGGCGGCCCCCUGGACAAAGACUGACGCUCAGGUGCGAAAGCGUGGGGAGCAAACAGG
rnacentral:rRNA from 1 species